rnacentral:rRNA from 1 species
UACGUAGGUGGCUAGCGUUGUCCGGAUUUACUGGGCGUAAAGAGCGCGCAGGCGGUCGUUCAAGUCGAGUGUGAAAGCCCCCGGCUCAACUGGGGAGGGUCACUCGAUACUGAUCGACUCGAAGGCAGAAGAGGGAAGCGGAAUUCCCGGUGUAGCGGUGAAAUGCGCAGAGAUCGGGAGGAACACCCGUAGCGAAGGCGGCGCUCUGGGCCGGUACUGACGCUGAGGAGCGAAAGCGUGGGGAGCAAACAGG